UGCAAUAUAGACCCUACUCACCUAUGUCACAAAAUGACGUGUCGCUGUAUCUGGCCGCCAUAUUGUCCGUAUUUUUUAGACCUAUUCUCAUUGUUUUCAGUUAGUCGUGCAAGUUAUAGAGCAAUUCAUGGAAGCCCCGGUGUUAUCUGACGCCGUAAACUCAUUGGAUGCAUUGCAUAAAAGGCGUUAUGUGGAAAAGCUUCAGUUUAUCCAUUCGCCAGAUCCAUAUUUGAUGCCUAAAUCGAUGUUUUUCGACCCACUGUCUUCACCGUCUUUGCCUGACCCUGAUAUUUACAACUAUCUUGUCCACACAAAAUCAGCCUAUUCUCACGAAAGUUUGAAAAACUUUAAGAGCUUGGAGGCUUAUAAAUGCUACGUUGCUGGUUGGGUGAAACAGGUCCUCGUACACGAAAAUUCGGCAGGAAUCUUGUGCUCGGGAAGAUAUGAAAUGACUACUACAUAAUCUGUGGUAGUCGUUUGGAGCCCAGUUUUCUCGUCGAAUUGCAGCAGUCAAUCUCGCUCUCCUCUCCGGGUCUCUCGGAAUACGACAUCAAGAUGUACGCAGGUGAAAUGGAGUCUGUCCAAAGUUUGCACCGAGUUCAGUGGAGCUCUCUCUUUGAUCUUGUUGAUCACGACUUGAGUAGCUUUCUACCAUCAAGUUCUCCUGCCCAGGAACAGAUGGAACUCUCCAAAUCUGACAAGGAUUUUUGAUGCCGUUUUCACCGUCAAGUAGUCACUUCAGCACUGAUGCCGGAUUCUGUAAAGGGCUCCCAAAUCCUCUUGGAGUCA